GCUAACUCUAGCCCAAACCCCUAUUAAAUAUACUACUUAAUUAUACUAACUAAAUCAUUUACCUAUCACAAAAGUAUAGGCGAUAGAAAUUACAUCUCAGGCGCAAUAGAAAAAGUACCGCAAGGGAAAGAACAAAAAACAAUAGAGCACAGAAAAGCAAAGACAAACCCUUAUACCUUUUGCAUAAUGAAUUAACUAGAAAUAACCUUAUAAAGAGAACUCAAACAAUGUCCCCCGAAACCAAACGAGCUACCUAAAGAUAGCCAUGAGAGCAAACCCAUCUAUGUGGCAAAAUAGUGGGAAAAUCUAUAGGUAGUGGCGACAAACCUAUCGAGCUUGGUGAUAGCUGGUUAUCCAAGAUAGAAUCUUAGUUCAACUUUAAAUUUACCCAUAGAACUAGACAAUCUUAAUGUAAAUUUAACUGUUAGUCUAAAGAGGGACAGCUCUUCAGACUCUAGGAAACAACCUUCCAUAGAGAGUAAAUAACUUAAUUAUCAUAGUUGGCCUAAAAGCAGCCACCUAUUAAGAAAGCGUUCAAGCUCAAUGUACAAUUACCCUUAAUUCUAAUAACCUAACUGAACUCCUAAAAUAAAUUGGAUUAAUCUAUAAUUUAAUAGAAGCAACAAUGUUAAUAUAAGUAACAUGAAAUUAUUCUCUCUGCAUAAGCUUAUAUCAGAUCGAAACAACUACUGUUAGUUAACAGCCCAAUUAUCAAAUACUACAAAUUAGUCCCCAAUUAAUCAAACUGUUAACCCAACACAGGCAUGCACCAUGAGAAAGAUUAAAAGAAGUAAAAGGAACUCGGCAAACUCUACCCCCGCCUGUUUACCAAAAACAUCACCUCUAGCAUCUCCAGUAUUAGAGGCACUGCCUGCCCAGUGACACAUGUUCAACGGCCGCGGUACCCUGACCGUGCAAAGGUAGCAUAAUCACUUGUUCUCUAAAUAAGGACUUGUAUGAAUGGCCACACGAGGGGUUAACUGUCUCUUACUUUCAAUCAGUGAAAUUGACCUGUCCGUGAAGAGGCGGACAUAACCUAAUAAGACGAGAAGACCCUAUGGAGCUUCAAUUUAAUAAUACAAGCUAAAACCUUCCAAACCAACAGGCACUAAUUAAUCGUAAAUGUAUUGUAAAUUUUGGUUGGGGUGACCUCGGAGUAUAAAACAACCUCCGAAAACAUGUACCAAGACCUCACUAGUCUAAGUAAAACACACCUUACUGACCCAAUAGCUUGAUCAACGGACUAAGUUACCCUAGGGAUAACAGCGCAAUCCUAUUUUAGAGUCCAUAUCGACAAUAGGGUUUACGACCUCGAUGUUGGAUCAAGACAUCCUAAUGGUGCAGACGCUAUUAAGGGUUCGUUUGUUCAACGAUUAAAGUCUUACGUGAUCUGAGUUCAGACCGGAGCAAUCCAGGUCGGUUUCUAUCUAUUAAGCAUUCCUCCCAGUACGAAAGGACAAGAGGAAUAGAGCCCACUUCGUAAAGCGCUCUAAAAAACUAGAUGACUGGUAUCUUAACCUCAUAGACUACCACCUCGCCCAAGAACAGGGCUU
rnacentral:rRNA from 1 species